UGCAGUUAAAAAGCUCGUAGUUGGACCUUGGGUUGGGCCGGUCGGUCCGCCUCGCGGUGUGCACCGGUCGUCCCGUCCCUUCUGCCGGCGAUGCGUGCCUGGCCUUAACUGGCCGGGUCGUGCCUCCGGCGCCGUUACUUUGAAGAAAUUAGAGUGCUCAAAGCAAGCCCACGCUCUGGAUACAUUAGCAUGGGAUAACAUCACAGGAUUUCGGUCCUAUUGUGUUGGCCUUCGGGAUCGGAGUAAUGAUUAAGAGGAACAGUCGGGGGCAUUCGUAUUUCAUAGUCAGAGGUGAAAUUCUUGGAUUUAUGAAAGACGAACCACUGCGAAAGCAUUUGCCAAGGAUGUUUUCAUCAAUCAAGAACGAAAG
rnacentral:rRNA from 1 species